rnacentral:tRNA from 1 species
GCUGCCGUGGCUCAGUCGGUAGAGCGUUACCUUGGUAAGGUAGAGGUCGGCGGUUCGAUUCCGCUCGGCAGCU